CCAUCCCUAGCUCAAUGGUAGAGCUACCGCCUUAUACGCGGUUGGUUCCAGGUUCGAGUCCUGGGGGAUGGA
rnacentral:tRNA from 1 species